ACAGCAUGACUAGCAUAUGGCCCAGUGCUGCACAAACCCACCGUUGUCACUUGAAAGUCCUCAUCUUAGAGCCAAGGGUAGAUUGUCUAUAGCAUGUUUUGGAGGGCAGCAUGAUGCAUGAAUGAUGCCUACACAGCAGCUGCCUCAAGACACAACUACUUAAGGUAGAUACAUUCUGAAGGCAGCAGUAGUGACACUUACUGGUCAAUGGUAGACCGAACCCUAACCUUGCCAGUUAGCCUUCUUAAAUGGUAAUGCAGUUACCCAACUACUUAGAAAAAGGUCUGUACGGUAACUGAACAGCUGAACUGUUUUCUAACAGCAAAUCCAUUUCUCCAUAAGGUCUGGUUCUUUUAGCGUAUAAUCCAAGUAACCUGUGUAAGUAAAUCAUUGCAAUACAAAACUCAUUUCCUUUUUCUUUUUUUUUUUUUUGGUUAAGAAAGCAACAUACCAAAUUUUCUUAAGCAAGAACCAGAGACUUGUCCUUUGUGAUGUCCUUUCACAAUGAACAAUUGUGUAAUUCUUUACAGAAUAAUGCUUACAGCUAAAAAUUCUCCUAAUGUCACUGCAACAAAGAUUUUUUUUUUCUGAAAAACUGAAGUCUGAUGUACUAAAUGCCUCAAAAGGCAAAUGAGUUAGCUUUUCAGUUACAACAUUUCAGGUGCUACUGGAUAACAUUUUGGGCGAAGGUACAGGACUCCUCUUCAAACACUGUUUUACAACAAGCUAUCAGGUUCUAAGCCUUACAUUUCACACCAGUAAGACAGUUAUUGUUCCAUUAUCUUUCUUCAACCUACUAAAUAAAUAAAUAAAGCCCCACCCAGAUGACCUGGGAACAAUUAACAGUUUAAUACCUGUAGAAACCAACUAAAUAAGAUAGAAGGGAGUGGCCAAGUCUGCAGCAGCUGAACUCACUGUUUUGUCUCUCCUGUUACAGGAGCACUUGCAAGCAACAACUGCAGCAUUUAGCAAGUAGACCGGUCCAAGCACAUGCCUCAGAGCAGUACAGUGGAAGAGUAUGGACCUCAGGAUGCCAAAGGAAAACAAAUGAGAAGUUAUGGACAGUUGGCUGUAACUCAACUUUCAGAACUGCUACAGAACCAUUUUCUCCAGGAAUACUGGAUUGUUCUCUCCAGGGGAGAGGGAGUGCAGUUACCUCAGCUGGAGGGGAGCCUAUCCAGUGAACUGAUACUGCAGCAGCAGCAGUGCAGUAGUUGUAUCAGACUGCAGUGGUGAAGCAAGAGUUCGAGUCACAUGAUGAUGGCUUCCAUGUAACAUUCCAUCUCUAUUUCCAUCCUCCCCUAUUGCCAGAAGCUUAGAAUAGUGACCACAUGGAUGAUAAGUGGUUGCAAACAGAAGAAAUAAAUUUUGCUGUGUAGCUAUAGGUUCACCAUCUGUGACUCAGAAACUCAGAAAUAAAGCAGGACACCAGUACACAGUGCUUCAUCCAUACAGAAAGGAAUCCGCUAAGAUGGUCUGCAAAUUUUAUAAGGAUGACCCUGGAUGUCUGCCAUAGGAAGUGUAUCAAGCAAAACACACUUGGAGGAGGCUUUGGGACAGACCUAAAACACUUUGGAGGAAUGUGAUCUCUCAGAUUCCUGGGAAAUCCUGGACACCCCACAAGAACUGCUGGGAAAUGGGAAGUCUAGACUCUCACCAUGGACAGAAGUUUAGAAAAUUACACUGAUAUUGAUAAAGAAAGUGAUACACAAUCCAUGCAAUGUAACUGCAGCAGAGGUUACCCUUAGUGCAAGUGCUGGUUCACGUGAAGGCCUGUAUCCAAAGGUUUCAGUUAGUAAUGUUGCUUUAAUUAUUAAUCUACUUUAUGAUGUUAUGGAGUAGAUACAAUGGUGUACUACAAUACGAAUGAAAAGUGUGGCCACCUGGGCCCACAUCUCCAGGGAGCCCAUGGCCAAACAAAGAAGUAAUUCAAUGAAUUUAUUUUAGCAUAUGUGCUGAAUGUAAAUGCUCUUUUUAUUUAAUUUUUCGUUUAAAAAAACAAAGUUAAAUGAUAGUAUGCGACCUUCCUGCAUAUGCUUGCAGUAUCUAUCAUUUGCACAUACAUCAUUCAUUUACUUAGUUUUACACUAAGUUAAAGUAAAUAAUGGCUCCUGGAGAUUAACUGCUCAGUGUGAACACUUUUUGCAGAUUGGCUUCUUGUGACUCAUUGAAAAACAAAUGAGCAGAAAACCAGGAAAUAUUAAAUAAUGCAAUGAAGAGGUUUUGCCUCAUUUAUGUCUGGCCUCUAACAAAACUUUUGUUUUCUGGUAAAUAACAGAGUUAGUCAAUCAAUAAUGCUAGAUAUUAAGGGCCUCCUACUUCUUAUUUUUCAGAAAAUGCAUUGUUGACAUAAAAUUUACAAAGCAACAGAUUUUAUAAGUGAAUUAUGGUAAUAUUUAAAAGGUGUUCCUAACUGUUUUUGGCUUGGCCCCAGAUUAUUAAGCAUAAAGAUCGACAGCUACACACAGCAGGCUUCAGGCUGGCUGAAGAUGAAUGCAGUUUCUGUCUUCCUCAGUUAAAAUGUCGCACCAGAUUCUGGCUACUGCUUGUUGUCCCUGACUUUGUUUCACAUUUUGUUCCACAUCUUCACUAGUAAAUCAUUAGGACUGCAGACACUAAACUGAGGGAGGGGGAUGCUCCCUGUGGAUGAAGGUAACUUGACCUCUUUUUGUUUCAUCAUUUUAAAAUCUGGCUUCAGUGAACAAGUGAGCAUUUGUAUGAAAUAUGUUUGAUUAGUUAUUUUUGAAGCAAAGUUGAAAUCGUUCUGGAUUUCACAGAAUAUCCCUGGCUUUGCAUCAAGCUUUUUGUCUGUGUCUCAUAAAAACUUCAACAACUGCUAUUUUAGCACCUCUCGAAGUAUAUGGUAUCAGUAAUUAAAGCGUAUUCCUGAU